UGCAGCCAGGCACUGUCCGUCCCGGGACCUACACAGCUGCCAUGGAAGCUCCGGGUUUCGCAGGAGACGGGAAUAAGAUCGGAGUAAUUCCAACAGAUGCUCCAACCAUCCCUCAUGGACCACACGUACUCUUGGAUGCUGAAGAGCAGGCUGGGGUCUGGGGCAGGCUUUAGGGGCUCUUGGGACCCCAAAGGUGUCCAGCUUGGAUGUCUCCAGCAGCAGAUCUUUCUGGAAAUCUGGGACACCAAGGGGGAGCACAAACACUGGUCUUACUACUAAGCAAUAUGUCCCUCGGAUCCAAAGGAGAGCAGGUGACCUGGGUGCAGCCACAGCCAGCUGCCACCUCCCUGGAGUCCCUCAUGAAGCAAUGCAUUCAGGGCAGAAUCCAUUGCUGCCUCAGCCCCCUUCAAAGACCAGGCCCAACACCGCACCAGCUCCUUGGACACUGCCCAUCUGCCCAGGGAGAGUCUCGUGCUCAGAGAGGCUAUAAAUAUACGCCGGACAGUCAAGAGUUUCCGUCGCCAACAGAAGAGCUGAGCAAAAGGUGAAAUAAACAUCCCGUGGCUGCAAAUUAA
rnacentral:antisense_RNA from 1 species